GAUGAACGCUGGCGGCGUGCCUAAUACAUGCAAGUCGAGCGAACAGACGAGGAGCUUGCUCCUCUGACGUUAGCGGCGGACGGGUGAGUAACACGUGGAUAACCUACCUAUAAGACUGGGAUAACUUCGGGAAACCGGAGCUAAUACCGGAUAAUAUAUUGAACCGCAUGGUUCAAUAGUGAAAGACGGUUUUGCUGUCACUUAUAGAUGGAUCCGCGCCGCAUUAGCUAGUUGGUAAGGUAACGGCUUACCAAGGCAACGAGGCGUAGCCGACCUGAGAGGGUGACGGCACACACUGAAACUGAGACAGGCCCCAGCCCCCUGGGGGAGGCAGAGGAAGGGAAUCUUCCGAAAGGGGGGAAAGCGGAACGGAGCAACGCGGGGUGAGGAAUAAUGGUUUUCGGAUCUAAAAACUUUUUUAUGGGGGAAAAAAAAAUGGUUAAUUAACUAGGCACGUCUUGACGGUACCUAAUAAGAAAGCCACGGCUAACUACGGG
rnacentral:rRNA from 1 species